AACUCUCUGCCUUGUAACAUUGUUAGAACCGAAGUGCCACUCAUCAUUUUAGGUGGAUCUUCGGUCUCUUUGGUCCCAUCAAACUGCUCCUUUUGCCUUCGAUAUUUGUGAUCCUAUGGCAACCAUCAUCGAUGACCCAUAUAACAUGUCUUUCUACUCUUAUUUAGGUAAAAUGAUUUUGUUUACGCACCACAAGAAGGACAUGCGUAUGUACCACUUGUGCACCAACCAUAAAGGUAUGCUAAUGCUAAAAAAAUCAUUUAAAGUCCACAAUAGUGUAGCUCGGAGAUAAAAUAUCUUCUGGAAAGAGACGUCAAUUGUUUCCACUCCCCCCCCCCACACACACAACUCUAAGAGCUCAUCGAUCAAUGGCCC
rnacentral:lncRNA from 1 species